CGCGUACAGGUUAUAAUGUUGAAAAUUGACAAAAGAACGUGUGAUUGGAUAAUCCUAAUUGUUGGCAAAAAAAUCUCAUUUCAAUCGGAAUCGACUAUCUCCGACCGACCACAUUGAUGCGAAUAGAGAGAGGUCGAGAAUUUAACCCUCUGAUUCCUCUCGAACAAGUCUUAACAAGUAAAUAUUAAUAUGCACGCGUACAUGUUACAAUCAAUGCUAAUCGAUAUCGUUAGGGCUUUAGCCGCGUACAAAUAUGUCGGCUGUUUGCGCUCAUGCAUCUGAGUGAAAUAUUUCCGGUAUAAAACGUUCAAAAUUGUGCAGCUAUACAAUAGAACCGUGUAGACAUAAUAUUAUUCUUCCGUUUUUCCGCGAUGACAGAGGCUGG